rnacentral:rRNA from 1 species
AGCGAACGUUUGCGGCGGGCCUAACACAUGCAAGUCGAACGGGCAGUCCCUUCGGGGGCUGUCUGUGGCGCACGGGUGCGUAGCACGUAGGUAAUCAACCCUCGGGUUCGGGAUAACACUUCGAAAGGGUGCUAAUACCGGAUGCGACGAGCGUCUCCUCGGAGAUGCACGGGAAAGAUCCGCAAGGGUCGCCCGAGGACGAGCCUGCGGCCCAUCAGCUUGUUGGUGAGGUAAUGGCUCACCAAGGCUAAGACGGGUAGCUGGUCUGAGAGGAUGAUCAGUCACACUGGAACUGAGACACGGUCCAGACUCCUACGGGAGGCAGCAGUGGGGAAUAUUGCGCAAUGGGCGAAAGCCUGACGCAGCCACGCCGCGUGAGCGAUGAAGGCC